rnacentral:rRNA from 1 species
AGCGAACGCUAGCGGCGGGCCUAACACAUGCAAGUCGAGCGCAUACCUUCGGGUAUGAGCGGCGGACGGGUGAGUAACGCGUAGGUCAUCUACCCUUUGGUGGGGGAUAACCCAGGGAAACUUGGGCUAAUACCGCACGAGGUCCACGGAUCAAAGCCUUCGGGCGCCAGAGGAUGAGCCUGCGUCGCAUUACCUAGUUGGCGGGGUAACGGCCCACCAAGGGGACGAUGCGUAGCUGGUCUGAGAGGAUGAUCAGCCACACUGGGACUGAGACACGGCCCAGACUCCUACGGGAGGCAGCAGUGGGGAAUAUUGCGCAAUGGGGGAAACCCUGACGCAGCCACGCCGCGUGGGUGAUGAAGGCCUUCGGGUUGUAAAGCCCUGUCGGGAGGGACGAAUUCUUGACGGUACCUCCAAAGAAAGCACCGGCUAACUCCGUGCCAGCAGCCGC